rnacentral:rRNA from 1 species
CUUGAUGCGGAGUCAUUACCAAUAGAUAUUACACCCGCAAGCUGAGGGGAGAAAACAGUUCCUCCCCAUAGGGAGGGCUGUUGUAUGCAAACGCUGUGUUCAUGGGGGGCAGAUUCAGUUAAGUUUAUCCUAGUAGAAUCGGUGUGAUUCCGUUGUCCGUCACAGAGCAUUACGUCUCGAGGAUGGUUACCACGACAUGCUGGCGGGAUACCUACGUUAACGCUAGUGAAUGGACAUUGACGCCACUUGUGUGUAGGCGGCUCGUCUCUCGGUGCUCCGGUAGACCAUACACCUCUCCUUAAGCUUGCUCGGUAUAUUACUCAAACCCUCCGUGUACCUAUCCAUGUUGCUUUCCCACUGCUAAAAAGUGGUGGGAGAGGUCCAAUACCAAAUCCUUUUGUCAAACCGCUGUCAGAAAUAAAACAAAAAAAAAACAGUUAAAACUUUCAACAACGGAUCUCUUGGUUCCCACAUCGAUGAAGAACGCAGCGAAAUGCGAUAAGUAAUGUGAAUUGCAGAAUUCAGUGAAUCAUCGAAUCUUUGAACGCACAUUGCGCCCUCUGGUAUUCCGGGGGGCAUGCCUGUUCGAGCGUCAUAAACAACUCUCCCCCAAACAUUUGUUGUGAGGGGGGUACUGGCUGGUAGGCAUUUGGCUCCACAGGCCUUUUGCCCGGCUCAAAUUAUUGGUCUGUAGGCCCGAGUGCAAACAGCGGCGUAGUGGUAACAUUUCCCGUCGCGAUUGUUUGCCUCAAGCUCCUAGGACCUUAAGCGCUUUACUGCGUCAAAACCCAUAGAUUGACCUCGGAUCAGGUAGGGAUACCCGCUGAACUUAACAUAUCAUAAAGAAAAUUGUGCCCCACAAGGCAUAC